rnacentral:rRNA from 1 species
CAUAUUUUAAUUUUUAAUCAUUUUAAUAAAUUAAAUAAAAUUACAUUUAAAUCCACUUUCAAUUAAAUUUUUCAAUUUAAAAUUCAUUUAAAUAAAUUUAUUGUAAUCCAUUAUAUUCUUAAUUAUAAUCUGCAUCUUGAUCUGAUUUAAUUUUUAUUUUAAAUUUUAAAAUAUUAAAUUUAUUUAAAAAUAUUUUUUUAACAACGAUAUACAAAAUUUUAAAUUAAGUAAAAUUAUUCGUGGAUUAUCAAUUAAUAAACAGAUUCCUCUAAAUGAACUAAAAUACCGCCAAAUUAUUUAAGUUUCAAUAAAUAAUUAUAUACUAUUUUAGUAUUUUAAUUUAAAUUUU